ACGGGUGAGUAAUGCCUAGGAAUCUGCCUGGUAGUGGGGGAUAACGUUUCGAAAGGAACGCUAAUACCGCAUACGUCCUACGGGAGAAAGUGGGGGAUCUUAGGACCUCACGCUAUCAGAUGAGCCUAGGUCGGAUUAGCUAGUUGGUGGGGUAAUGGCCCACCAAGGCGACGAUCCGUAACUGGUCUGAGAGGAUGAUCAGUCACACUGGAACUGAGACACGGUCCAGACUCCUACGGGAGGCAGCAGUGGGGAAUAUUGGACAAUGGGCGAAAGCCUGAUCCAGCCAUGCCGCGUGUGUGAAGAAGGUCUUCGGAUUGUAAAGCACUUUAAGUUGGGAGGAAGGGCAGUAAGUUAAUACCUUGCUGUUUUGACGUUACCAACAGAAUAAGCACCGGCUAACUUCGUGCCAGCAGCCGCGGUAAUACGAAGGGUGCAAGCGUUAAUCGGAAUUACUGGGCGUAAAGCGCGCGUAGGUGGUUCAGCAAGUUGGAUGUGAAAGCCCUGGGCUCAACCUGGGAAUUGCAUCCAAAACUACUGAGCUAGAGUACGGUAGAGGGUGGUGGAAUUUCCUGUGUAGCGGU
rnacentral:rRNA from 1 species